CUACCUCUUAGAUAUUCCUUCAGUAACUCUAGGGUUUAUGAACUGUCCCCUAGUUCAGAGUAAACUGUCAUUUGGGAGUGAUAACAAGAGGAUAAAGACAUCACAGAUGGGGAGAAGGAAGCUGGACUUCUGUCUUGGUCUAAAAAAAGGAGGAAAUAUAUCAUCCAUGGGAAAGCUCAAAGAAAACGGUCCUAAGGAAAAGGAAAAGACCAAUAUUGUGUCCUCAGCUCAGAGUAAACUCCAUGCAUUGGAUUCCUAUGGUGCAGUUUGUGUCUGACACUGGUAUCUGCGAGAGAGAAGUGCUACCAAGUUGAGACUUCAUCAUCACAGUCUUUUCACUAGUAUUACUCUGAGUACCAUUCCCUGACAGUUACCCUUUAUAUGUCUGAGUCAAUAGGGACUUACAGCCUCAGGAGAAAGAUAACAUGGGACUUUAAUAAACAUGCAUCGUGUAGUAAUACCUAGUCUCUUCCCUUACUUUACCUUCCCUGUCUGUAUUUUCCUAAUGGAUGUUGUACAUAAAUGUAGUAGUGACUGCCUUUCAGGAGUAUAGAAGUUGUCAUAUGUGGCACCCAAAUGAAGAAUUUGACUUUUCUUCCCUGGCUGGCGCUCCUUACCAAUGAUCUACUACAUCGUUUUCCUAUGACUGCUCCUUUGAUUUCUGUGUGUGUGAGUGAGUUGUGUUUGUGUGUGUGUGUAUCUGUCUCUCUGUCUGUCUGUCUGUCUUUCUGUCUUUGUCUCUGUCCAUCUGUUUCUUCCACAUGAUACCUAUAUAUACUUCAGUUUGACUUCUCAUUGCUCAUUCCAAGAUUGACCCAUCAUGCUUUCCCUGAGUGUUUGCUAUUGAUGACUCAAAUUACACCUGUGUUAAUCAAUGCACCUGUAUCCAGAACUGUGUGCCACUGAUCACAUCACAAUCAGUCUCAUGGCUAAAAUAAAUAAUUUUUGAGGCUCUGAGGGAAUUUUUUAUCAGAAUUUAAAUGUUUUCUGUAUUUUUUACUCCCCUAUCCAUACUGUUGUAGUCUGUGGAUAUUCCCCAAGUCUUUGCUCACAAGUACUUAUCUAUGUACCUGGCCUACUGGGAAGACAUCAUCCCAACCCUCCAAUAUUACUUAGCAGGGGGAAUAGAUGAAGAAUUUGGAAAAAUUGGUCAUUUAGCUACAGAAGAUGUCCCCAGAGAUGGAUUAACUGUGUCGAAUCAACACAUCACUGACAAGAAUUCUGAACUAUGUUCUCAGUUUAUUUUCUUCUUUGUCAUUUUGAGUGUGCUACCAAAGGAGUGGGGGACCAUUUGUGGGCUGUGGUUGAGAACUGAGUCUUCACUAUUCAUGCAUGAAGGUGGUAAAAAAUUCAAUAGAUCAGUGAUAUCUCUGGGUUAGAAGGGAUAUUGAUAGAAAGUCUUCCUUUGUGUCUCAGGCAAAGAUCCUUGAAAGGGCAACUUGGUUUGUUUAUUUGGAGAAGAUCUUGUUAAAGGGAAGUUAUGUGCUGUUGAACUGGACUAUCUUCCGGAUACUCUAAUGUAUGCUGGAAUUUCCAUUGUAUUCUCUGUGAUGUC